GGAGGAAAAGAAACCAACAGGGAUUGCCCCAGUAACGGCGAGUGAAGCGGCAACAGCUCAAAUUUGAAAUCUGGCCCCCAGGGCCCGAGUUGUAAUUUGCAGAGGAUGCUUUUGGCGCGGUGCCUUCCGAGUUCCCUGGAACGGGACGCCAUAGAGGGUGAGAGCCCCGUCUGGUCGGACACCAAGCCAGUGUAAAGCUCCUUCGACGAGUCGAGUAGUUUGGGAAUGCUGCUCUAAAUGGGAGGUAUAUGUCUUCUAAAGCUAAAUACCGGCCAGAGACCGAUAGCGCACAAGUAGAGUGAUCGAAAGAUGAAAAGCACUUUGAAAAGAGGGUUAAACAGUACGUGAAAUUGUUGAAAGGGAAGCGUUUAUGACCAGACUUGGGCCCGGUGAAUCAUCCAGCGUUCUCGCUGGUGCACUUUGCCGGGCUCAGGCCAGCAUCAGUUCGCCGCGGGGGAUAAAGGCUUCGGGAACGUGGCUCCCUCGGGAGUGUUAUAGCCCGUUGCGUAAUACCCUGUGGCGGACUGAGGUUCGCGCUCCGCAAGGAUGCUGGCGUAAUGGUCAUCAGCGACCCGU
rnacentral:rRNA from 1 species